UACGUAGGGGGCAAGCGUUGUUCGGAAUUAUUGGGCGUAAAGCGCGUGUAGGCGGCUUGGUUAGUCUGGUGUGAAAACUUGGGGCUUAACCUCAAGCCUGCAUCGGAUACUGCCUGGCUAGAGUCCGGGAGGGGAGAGCGGAAUUCCCAGUGUAGCGGUGAAAUGCGCAGAUAUUGGGAAGAACACCGGUGGCGAAGGCGGCUCUCUGGAACGGUACUGACGCUGAGACGCGAAAGCGUGGGGAGCAAACAGG
rnacentral:rRNA from 1 species